UACGAAGGAGGCUAGCGUUGCUCGGAAUCACUGGGCGUAAAGCGCACGUAGGCGGCUUUCUAAGUCAGGGGUGAAAUCCUGGAGCUCAACUCCAGAACUGCCUUUGAUACUGGAGAGCUCGAGUCCGGGAGAGGUGAGUGGAACUCCGAGUGUAGAGGUGAAAUUCGUAGAUAUUCGCAAGAACACCAGUGGCGAAGGCGGCUCACUGGCCCGGUACUGACGCUGAGGUGCGAAAGCGUGGGGAGCAAACAGG
rnacentral:rRNA from 1 species